CCGGCAAAUAAAAGGGGACGUCAGCACAUUGAAUGUACUGGUAUGUAAAGCAACUGAAUGAAAUAACGUGGGACAUGAAAUAACAUGAUAAGAACUGAAACUGAAAACCUGGACAUGAAUAUGAGCAUGAGUACAUAUAUAUAUAACAUAAAUAAAACAUGAUAAGUAGGGAGAGCAUUUCAUAAACCGACAUGUGAUAUCACCACGUGGGUACGUGGAGUCUGGUACCUCGCCGGACCAGCAGAGCCCCCAUACCUUGCCAGGGUAUAAGGUGGUAACGUGCCUGAUGGAUCCAUUCAGUGUAAAAUUAAGGUAUCGUCCUAACUGAGCGGAGCGAUCCUUGUCCUACGGUGGCUACGUAGUUUCAGGCUAUCUGAGCCUUCUCGGUAAUUCGUGCAACUCCCAAAAACAUGAACAUGAUAUAAUUGGCUAAGAAGCCCAUGAUUUUC